rnacentral:snRNA from 1 species
AGCUUUGCUCAGUACUGUAGCCAAUGAAGUUUAUCUAAGGUGCAGUUAUUGCUAAUUGAAAAUAAAGA